UGAAAACCUCCAUGCAUGAUCUACCAAAAAACAGGCUGGAUUUAUCCUCCAUCCACCAUGGAAUGACAUGGCCUUGGCUGGGAUUGUGAGUCAGGCUUUCUUUAGAAUGAUAGUCUAGAAUAGUUCCAAAUGCAACAUUUUAACGCCAUUCAAAUUGCAGCUGAAGAGCCAUACAAAACCUUUUAAGUCCUACAAGUAUUGGAGUAUUCUACCUAAAUGAGAACAUGGCUAAUCUAUGGCAGGUUAUAGUUGUGGCAUUAAUGUACUUUUGCACAUUGCUGAAAAGAAGUAUAGAACAGAUACAGAGAUGUUUGUGCUUCAAAAAUAGUUUAAAUUGGGUUCAGUUCAGACAGGCAGAUUCUGAUGCUGUAGAAGAGAAAUCUGAUAACCUACAGGCAGACAUCUGGAGAACAAAUCAAGAGUACAGGACCUAUCGGCACCAGAGCAAUGGACAAAUGGUAAUGGUGCAAACCAGCACACAUACUUUCCAUGUGAGUAUCUACACAUAAACCACAGACUGUAACAACCUUGGCCCACAAACACAUGAUGUCAUGCUUAUCAGCACUUACUUCUAGGUGGAUCUGGAGAAGCUUGCAGACUGCAGCGAGUAUUUCAAGGCUCUGUCCCACUCCUGCAUGAGAGAGACAUCCGAACAGCUGGUACACCUAGAACCUGUUCCCUCUCCAGUCUUCCACAACCUUCUACAAUUCUGCUUCCUACAGCAGUUCUGCAUUUCUGAAGACCUCCUUGGGGAACACCUACGGGUGAGCACUUACCUGCUUGCUUACGGGUUCACCAAUCGUCUACUGAUUGCCCUCUCUCAAGCCCUAACGGAGCACACCUGCUUAGGCUAUCUACAGCUGGCUGAAGAACUCUGCAGUGAGGAGCUCCAAGAGACUGUGCUAACCUACCUGAGCAAGUAUCUACUGGAGCGUCCACACCUGAGUCAGGGCUUGGAUCCACACCUUAAAGCAAAGCUUCUCAGAUUAAGGUCAAAGGGAACUCCACACUUAUGCUGCUUGAGAAAGGAGAACUUGACCUCAAGCAAUGACCUGGAAACAGAUGCUGCUCGAAAGCUCUUCAGGCUGGAGGAAGACAAGGAUUAUGGGAAAUGGAGUUCUAUCACAGAUCUGCCUUUUUGUGCAGAUAAGUGGUGCUUCACCACAGCGGUUCUCUAUAAUUACCUCUAUCUCAUAGGGGGUUAUAGACACCGUGUAAAGAAGGGUUAUGAGUUCAAGAUGGCUUCCUUCCGCUACAACCCUUUUACCAAUCAAUGGGUAUCAACAGCUCCUCUGAUUAAGACUUCCAGUUCAGCCUGUCCCUUUCCCAUGAUUCCCCACUCACAACCAGCCUGGGACACUGCCUCUAUGUACUGGGGAACAUCCAGAGAACUGGAGAGAAACUGGUGUUGCGCUACGAUACUAGACAAGAUUGCUGGUGUGAGCUGCUCCCCACACUAACCCGCUCCAGUGCAGACCUCCCCAUCUUGAACUUCCUGGGUGCUGCUAAUAAUCAGUUGGUUGUAAUUGGAGGGAACAAUUCUGAAACCAUGGUGACAUCUUUCUGUGUGGAAUCUCAGAAGUGGGGCUGUAUCAGAGCAAUGGAGAAGACCACUUUAAUUGGCCAGGGCACCAUUCUGCAUAAUGAGGUCUACAUGUCAGGGAUGAAGGACAAUUCUAUAGUUAAACUGAACCUGCAUUCACUGUCCCUCUGUCCUCUUCCUUCCCUCCCUGUCACCACCUGCUACGAGAGCCUUUUCCACCUCUACUUCUGACCUUGUUUUUCUUCUUGUUUAAUUGCAACAAAAUGUAACAAAAUAUUUCAUAAAUAAAUGUAUCAACUUGUGUAAAGUAAAGCAUUUUGUGAGA
ensembl:lncRNA